GACGAACGCUGGCGGCGUGCUUAACACAUGCAAGUCGAACGGAAAGGCCCUGCUUGCAGGGUACUCGAGUGGCGAACGGGUGAGUAACACGUGGGUGAUCUGCCCUUCACUUCGGGAUAAGCCUGGGAAACUGGGUCUAAUACCGGAUAGGAGCCAUUUUUAGUGUGAUGGUUGGAAAGUUUUUUCGGUGUAGGAUGAGCUCGCGGCCUAUCAGCUUGUUGGUGGGGUAAUGGCCUACCAAGGCGGCGACGGGUAGCCGGCCUGAGAGGGUGGACGGGCACAUUGGGAAUGAGAUAAGGCCCAGACUCCUACGGGAGGCAGCAGUGGGGAAUAUUGCACAAUGGGCGCAAGCCUGAUGCAGCGAAGCCGCGUGGGGGAUGACGGCCUUCGGGUUGUAAACUCCUUUCGCUAGGGACGAAGCUUUUUGUGACGGUACCUAGAUAAGAAGCACCGGCUAACUACGUG
rnacentral:rRNA from 1 species